CAAGUACUCCCUCCGUCCUAAAAUAAGUGACUUAAAAAUGACUCAGUUUUACACUACUUUAGUGCAAAAUUAAGUCAGUUUUGAGUCACUUAUUUUGGGACAGAGGGAGUAUAUG
rfam:Hordeum vulgare subsp. vulgare, WGS project CAJW01000000 data, contig: morex_contig_6432